ensembl:misc_RNA Metazoa_SRP Metazoan signal recognition particle RNA
GCCAGGCAUGGUGGCGCAUGCCUGUAGUCCCAGCUACUCAGGAGGCUGAGGCAGAAGACUCACUUGAACCUGGGAGGCAGAGGUUGCAGUGAGCUGAGAUUGCACCACUGCACUCCAGUCUGGGUGACAGAGUGAGACUCUGUCUCAA